AGAAUCAACGCUGGCGGCGUGCCUAACACAUGCAAGUCGAACGCGAAAGGGACUUCGGUCCUGAGUAGAGUGGCGAACGGGUGAGUAACGCGUGGGUGACCUACCCUCAAGUGGGGGAUAACGUUCCGAAAGGGACGCUAAUACCGCAUGACAUUCCGGGUUUGAAGACCUGGAAAUCAAAGCCGGGGACCGUAAGGCCUGGCGCUAGAGGAGGGGCCCGCGUCUGAUUAGCUAGUUGGCGGGGUAACGGCCCACCAAGGCGACGAUCAGUAGCCGG
rnacentral:rRNA from 1 species